UUUCUAAUGGAACUAUUGUUUUCCAUGUUGGCAGCAAAGAGGGGAAAAUAGAAGGUUGAAUGAAUAGAUAAGUCAGGAAAAAAGGAAAAAAGGAAAUAUUUGCUUUGUAGCUUCUAAUAUUUUUCAUAUAUAAUUGACUCUUGUUUUUUUGUUCAACUCAAGUCUCUCUCUAUGGUUUUGUAUGAAAAGAUGAAAGGUUUUGCUUAGCACCAAAAGAGUUAAAACAUAUGAGUUAUUUCUUAUGAUUAUUGGCUCUACCAUCUCACAAAAUUUAGUGGAUUGUCACAAAGAUUGAUGGGAAAGAAGAAAGUUGUGAAGAAAACUAAGGAGUUAUCAGUAGCAAUAGCAGAAUCAUCAGCAAUGAGUGGAGAUUCACAACAACAAAUUACUCCAAGAAAAAGAGGAAGACCAAGAAAGAUUAUUAGUAUUGUUAAAGAUGGUGAAGAAGAAGUUUCUGCUGAAUUAAAGAAACUCAAAACAAAUGAAGUUGAAGAAUCACAAGGAGAAAACAAAAAAGAAGAUGUAUUUGAAGAGGAAAAAAAUUUACAACCACAAAAGCAACAACAACAACCUACAAGGAGCAGAGCUAGAAGAAAAAGCAAACCAAGAAAGAGUUGCUAAUUUAAUUUUUUCGAUCAACAGUAUUCCCACUUAUCCUCCAACGUGACUUGUAUCGAUUGAUGGUAGUGGAUGUGCUAAACCACUUGAGCUACUAAAAAUCAAGUUUCAAGAAUCCCCCUUUUUCUUUUAGGUAAUUUUUGAAACAAAGUAAAUUUAAUUUCAUCUACUGGUUUUUGUUACUUUCCUAGUUUAAUUCUUAGUGCUAUUAGUUUUUUAUUUUGGUGUUUAGUAUGCCUAUUUUAAUUGUGAGAAACAUUUUAGUUAGGGAGGAAUUGGUUAUUAGCUUUACACUCUGGAUUGAAUUGUGAUAUGACAUGUUAAUGACUUUUUGUGUUAA